rnacentral:rRNA from 1 species
ACUCCUGCGGGAGGCAGCAGUGGGGAAUAUUGCACAAUGGGCGCAAGCCUGAUGCAGCCAUGCCGCGUGUAUGAAGAAGGCCUUCGGGUUGUAAAGUACUUUCAGCGGGGAGGAAGGCGAUAAGGUUAAUAACCUUGUCGAUUGACGUUACCCGCAGAAGAAGCACCGGCUAACUCCGUGCCAGCAGCCGCGGUAAUACGGAGGGUGCAAGCGUUAAUCGGAAUUACUGGGCGUAAAGCGCACGCAGGCGGUCUGUCAAGUCGGAUGUGAAAUCCCCGGGCUCAACCUGGGAACUGCAUUCGAAACUGGCAGGCUAGAGUCUUGUAGAGGGGGGUAGAAUUCCAGGUGUAGCGGUGAAAUGCGUAGAGAUCUGGAGGAAUACCGGUGGCGAAGGCGGCCCCCUGGACAAAGACUGACGCUCAGGUGCGAAAGCGUGGGGAGCAAACAGGAUUAGAUACCCCAGUAGUCCCAUGA